AACGAACGCUGGCGGCAUGCCUAACACACGCAAGUCGAACGAGACCUUCGGGUCUAGUGGCGCACGGGUGCGUAACGCGUGGGAACCUGCCCUUAGGUUCGGAAUAACUCCCCGAAAGGGGUGCUAAUACCGGAUAAUGUCUUCGGACCAAAGAUUUAUCGCCUUUGGAUGGGCCCGCGUUGGAUUAGCUAGUUGGUAGGGUAAAAGCCUACCAAGGCGACGAUCCAUAGCUGGUCUGAGAGGAUGAUCAGCCACACUGGGACUGAGACACGGCCCAGACUCCUACGGGAGGCAGCAGUGGGGAAUAUUGGACAAUGGGCGAAAGCCUGAUCCAGCAAUGCCGCGUGAGUGAUGAGGGCCUUAGGGUUGUAAAGCUCUUUUACCCGGGAUGAUAAUGACAGUACCGGGAGAAUAAGCUCCGGCUAACUCCGUG
rnacentral:rRNA from 1 species